AUUGGCCAACUCCAUAAGGCGAGGAAACCGUGAAGGGAUGGGUAAGAAUCACGGCUCUCUCGGACCCUGCCAGCUAGCCUAGAGAGACCUGGGAGGCUGUGGGAGAAGCCGCCGCAACCGCGCUGCUGGGUUGGCUGCGGGUUGCACUCUUUCAGGAGGGAUCGGGCAAUCCCACACACUGAACCUGAGGGUUUUUCCUCUUUCUUUGUUCUCCUUUCUACAUAUCCAUACACAGCCCGCAGCUGUCAGCCGACAAAGACAUGACCACCAACGCCAGCCCCAUGCAUCCAUACUGGCCUCGGCACCUGAGGCUGGACAACUUUGUGCCUAAUGACUGCCCCACUUGGCAUAUCCUGGCUGGCCUCUUCUCCGCCUCUGGAGUCUUAGUCGUGACUACCUGGCUGUUGUCAGGUCGUGCUGCGGUCGUCCCACUGAGCACUUGGCGGAGACUGUCCUUGUGCUGGUUUGCAGUCUGUGGGUUCGUUCAUUUGGUGAUUGAGGGCUGGUUCUGUCUCUACCACGAGGAGCUUCUUGGAGACCAAGCCUUCUUAUCUCAACUCUGGAAGGAAUAUGCCAAGGGAGACAGCCGAUACAUCCUGAAUGAUAACUUCACCAUCUGCAUGGAGACCAUCACCGCCUGCCUCUGGGGACCACUUAGCCUAUGGGUGGUGAUCGCCUUUCUCCGCCAGCAGCCCCACCGCUUUGUCCUCCAGCUGGUGGUCUCUGUGGGUCAGAUAUACGGGGAUGUGCUCUAUUUCCUGACAGAGCACCGUGACGGAUUCCAGCACGGGGAGCUGGGCCACCCAAUCUACUUCUGGUUUUACUUUGUCUUCAUGAAUGCUCUGUGGCUGGUGCUGCCCGGAAUCCUUGUGCUUGAUUCGAUAAAGCAACUCAGUCACGCCCAGAGGAUGCUGGACUCCAAAGCCUCCAGAGCCAAGAGCAAGCAAAACUAAUGAGUGAUGAACUGGGCUUGAACACUGGCCGUUGAGGAACUCGCCACCUGUGUCCAGUCCUUGCUCCUACAGAUUGGAAGGACCAAUCGAAUUGAUCUGUCAAACUCGGGCUGAUGGGUGGGCACCAAAAAGACCAGAGAUAGAAGAAAGGAGCUAGGUACAGCUGCUGUUCAAGCUACAAGAGAACCUAGGAAGUCCAAGAUGGGGACAGGUUUUGAAAUCAAAUAAAAGUUCUUGACCCU
rnacentral:lncRNA from 1 species